rnacentral:misc_RNA from 1 species
GGAAAAGGAAGAAUAGAAUAGAAUACUGUUAUAAGUGUUCUCUUGUUUGCGCGUUGCAUAUCUGUCUUUCCCUUGUCUUUCAUUCUUUCCAAAGCAAACCCUUAUAUCCCAUCUGUCUCUUUCCUUCCUCUCUCUCUCUCUCUCUUCUCUUGAGAAGAAAAGGGGAAAAUAAAUGAAUAAAUAAUAUUAAAGAAGAGAGCUUUGUAUUCUUAUGGAAUAUGGGUUGUGUGAAUUCUAAAGCCAAGGCAAAGCAAAGUCUUCCAUUUCACACCUUUCAAUCUCCGACUCAUGGAGGAACAAACUAGGGCUUCACAUCUCAACAAAGUCUACCGAGGUCUGUUCAUUUGGUGCUCUUUUUACUCCAGUUUCUAUCAUUUUUUUCUAAUGAUAUAGCCCCUAUGCUUAAUUUGAUCUUCUGGGUUCAGUUUUUCUUCUCCACAAACUAAAGCCUUUCACAAGCUGAAUUAAUUUCUUCGGAUUUUGAUUGAAAGGCAAUUCUUUUAUGGUAUCUGCUUUUCCCAAAAAUGACUCUGUGGGCUUUGCGUUUUUGUCCUGAAGAUCUAUUACUAAACUAGGUUUUUAGAUUUUUGGCGUUUUUAUGCUCUGUUGUUGUCCGGGUACUUUGGCUUUUGGCCCUUUUGGGUGAUCAAAAUAUUUUUGAGAGAGUAGGAUUAUUAUGGACGAGGUUGAAGAAGCUAACAGGGCUGCUGUGGAGAGCUGCCAUAGAGUUCUGGGUUUGUUGUCUCAACCUCAAGAUCAGGUCCAGUAUAGGAAUUUAAUGGUGGAAACUGGAGAGGCUGUGUUUUGCAUCUGAGAAUAAAUUUAGUAAUCCCUG